rnacentral:lncRNA from 1 species
AGAUACCACACAAUUCUGCCCUCAACACUUUCAUCCCUUAAUGCAUGCUGGGCGGGGUUCAUGGCCCUGGAAUUGAGAUUAUUAUUACUUUUAUUAUUACUUUACUACGUUGCUUGUUAAAUACUUACACGCUUAAGACGUGUACUCAAGCACAUUCGGCGUGCACCUGAAUAAUCUAGCUAGAUUACAUAUCACGCUUUAAUUACGUAUUCAUGUCUGCUCCCGAUCUUAGCUCAGCUGGAAGAGCGAAGGAAUGUAAUCGUUGUUGAAAUUCUUAGGGGGCCUGUUCGAUCCAGGCAGAUCGGAUUACAUUUUGAUUGUUGCGAGGUCCUAUCUGUCCCAAUCUGUCCUCUUUCUCUUGUCAUGCAUGGACAGGUGCCGCUGUGCUAGCUGGGUCCG